GCCGGGAUGGCACAAUCUGGUACUGCGCAAGCCUGGAAAGCUUGUUUCCUUCGGGAUAUGUGGGUUCAAAAGUCCGGCGCUCCGGACGUGAGCGUGCGUAUCGCAAAGCGAUACACAAUUGGCUUUUCAGCCAACGGAUUUGAAAGUCCCACUCCCGGCG
rnacentral:tRNA from 1 species